UACGGGGGGGGCGAGCGUUGUUCGGAAUUACUGGGCGUAAAGGGCGCGUAGGCGGUCUGCUAAGUUGGAUGUGAAAACUCUGGGCUUAACCCAGAGCCUGCAUUCAAUACUGACAGGCUAGAGUUCUGGAGGGGAUAGCGGAAUUCCUGGUGUAGCGGUGAAAUGCGUAGAUAUCAGGAGGAACACCGGUGGCGAAGGCGAUCACCUGGGGUUGUUCUGACGCUGAGGAGCGAAAGCUAGGGGAGCAAACGGG
rnacentral:rRNA from 1 species